UAGGGAAUUUUCGGCAAUGGGCGAAAGCCUGACCGAGCAACGCCGCGUGAGUGAAGAAGGCCUUCGGGUUGUAAAGCUCUGUUGUGAAGGAAGAACGGCUCAUACAGGGAAUGGUAUGGGAGUGACGGUACUUUACCAGAAAGCCACGGCUAACUACGUGCCAGCAGCCGCGGUAAUACGUAGGUGGCAAGCGUUAUCCGGAUUUAUUGGGCGUAAAGGGAACGCAGGCGGUCUUUUAAGUCUGAUGUGAAAGCCUUCGGCUUAACCGGAGUAGUGCAUUGGAAACUGGGAGACUUGAGUGCAGAAGAGGAGAGUGGAACUCCAUGUGUAGCGGUGAAAUGCGUAGAUAUAUGGAAGAACACCAGUGGCGAAAGCGGCUCUCUGGUCUGUAACUGACGCUGAGGUUCGAAAGCGUGGGGUAGCAAACAGGAUUAGAUACC
rnacentral:rRNA from 1 species